UACAGAGGGGGCUAGCGUUGUUCGGAAUUACUGGGCGUAAAGGGCGCGUAGGCGGCCAACUAAGUCAGACGUAAAAUCCCUCAGCUUAACUGGGGAACUGCGUCUGAUACUGGAUGGCUUGGAUCCGGGAGAGGGAUGCGGAAUUCCAGGUGUAGCGGUGAAAUGCGUAGAUAUCUGGAGGAACACCGGUGGCGAAGGCGGCAUCCUGGACCGGUAUUGACGCUGAGGAGCGAAAGCCAGGGGAGCAAACGGG
rnacentral:rRNA from 1 species